rnacentral:rRNA from 1 species
GUGGGGAAUCUUAGACAAUGGGGGAAACCCUGAUCUAGCCAUGCCGCGUGAGCGAUGAAGGCCUUAGGGUUGUAAAGCUCUUUCAGCUGGGAAGAUAAUGACGGUACCAGCAGAAGAAGCCCCGGCUAACUCCGUGCCAGCAGCCGCGGUAAUACGGAGGGGGCUAGCGUUGUUCGGAAUUACUGGGCGAAAAGCGCGCGUAGGCGGACCAGAAAGUUGGAGGUGAAAUCCCAGGGCUCAACCUUGGAACUGCCUUCAAAACUCCUGGUCUGGAGUUCGAGAGAGGUGAGUGGAAUUCCGAGUGUAGAGGUGAAAUUCGUAGAUAUUCGGAGGAACACCAGUGGCGAAGGCGGCUCACUGGCUCGAUACUGACGCUGAGGUGCGAAAGCGUGGGGAGCAAACAGGAUUAGAAACCCGAGUAGUCC